UACAGAGGGGGCAAGCGUUGUUCGGAAUUACUGGGCGUAAAGGCGCGUAGGCGGCCUGCUAAGUCGAACGUGAAAUCCCUGGGCUCAACCCAGGAACUGCGUCCGAUACUGGUUGGCUUGAAUCCGGGAGAGGGAUGUGGAAUUCCAGGUGUAGCGGUGAAAUGCGUAGAUAUCUGGAGGAACACCGGUGGCGAAGGCCGACAUCCUGGACCGGUAGUUGACGCUGAGGCGCGAAAGCCAGGGGAGCAAACGGG
rnacentral:rRNA from 1 species